CCAAAUACAGGAUGGCGAUUUAGGAGAGCUGACUGGUUUGCCAGUUGCAGACGUGCAAGUAAACGGGGAGUGAACGCGCACCAGCGCUGUGAGAUGAGGGAUGUGGCUCCUGAGCCUGCAGAGGCUUUGCAGGGCCAUGCUGUGAUUUCCAUCUCCCUCAGCACCGAUGUUUCCUCUCUGCCUUGACCAUGCUAGGUAGGGUAGUCUUAUCUUUCUAGCAAAUUCUCUGCUGACAACUUUCAGCUGCUUAACACAGUCUUUGCCUUUUGGCUGGAUCCCAGAAGCGUUUAAACUUUUGGCAAUGGAAGUAGAGAUAGGUGCUAUUUUAUUUAUUAAUUUUAAUAAGCAAAAGUACGAGCCAAUAUUUUUUCUCUGAAAUGGUGGCUCAUCCCAGCCUGUGUCCUCACUGCUGCUGCUCCUGUCUCAGGCAUGGCAGGUGGCUAGAUAAAUUGAUAAUACACUGCACAAUCUGGCAUGGAGCUUUAUCAAUCAAAACAAGCCCUGAUUUUUCGCUCAACAGGAAAGUUCAGUCACUCUCCUCUGGUGGAAUCAGUCAACAUAUAAUGCUUUCAGUCCGAGAUAAUGUUAGACUACAGAUUUGGAUCUGCUUUCUUGCUGCUCCAGGGCUAUUUAUGUCUUUGUGCCUCGAGGGCUUACUAAUUAGCAGCCUUCUUCCACACCCUUUGAUAUCAUUAACAUAAUCUCAGUGUAAGCGACUGCUCUCUGAUGGUAUCUCUAGGGGAGUGGAGAACAGCUGGAACUGUUCUAAAUAGCAGAGCUGGAGCACUUCUCCCAGAGUGGUGGUUGAAAGACCACAAUAAUUUUACCUAUGCAAGCAAAGCCAGCAAAGCACCCUGCCUUGCUCAGGGUGGCUGUAGCCAAUGGGCUAUCACAGAAUCAUUAAGGCUGGAAAGGCCAUUAAGAUCAUCUAGUCUGAUUAUCAAUCCUAUGGCAGAUGUAAUCUCAAGAUGAGGCCAGAACUGGGAGGUACUGAGGGGGUUAGUGUGGGUUUUUCUCGCCAUUGCCAACAUUAUCAGAGCAAUGCUAAGUACAAACCCGAUGACAAUCUAAGAGCAUCUCAGCGAGUCUGCCUCUUCCCUGUUCUGGUGGAAAGAGAUGACAGCAACAUGUGCAAGAAAGGCUGGCUGAACUGAAGCUGUAAUGCAAGAUCUCCACAUCUUAAUAGACUUUGAGAUAAAUGGCCUUUUCUUGUCUCCCAUAUGGUUUUGCUUUCCAUGUAACGAGGGAAUCAUAACUCUGGCUGAAAGAAAGGAGCUGUCCGGAGACAGAGCUGCAAGUGGAGGGAAGAGGAGGUGAAAGGAAAGGAAAAUCUGAAGGGGAAGAGAGACCACGUCUGGAGAAGUCAUUGCACAGAUGGGGAGUAACAAGACAAGAACGAUGCAGGAACUACCAAGCAGCCGAGUAGAGGAGAGCCAGCAGUUUGGGUGAAGGGCAGUGACUCUGGCUGUGUCCCUGAAGUGCUCCGCUCAGGGUCUGGAGCUGCAGGAAUGGAUCAGCCAUCUCCAGCCUCCAACACAGGGCCCAGCAAUGCCACCAUCCGUCACCAUGAGGACAGCUUACCCUGUCAGCAAGGGGCUGCUUUAUUUCCAGUGCAACAUAACACCUGGUGUCAGAAUGAAUAUGGCCCUGUGUCAGAUGAGCAGCUGAACUCAGAUCUCAUCUAUGCAAUAGUACAAGGAUGUAUACGAACACCACCUUUACCCUAACUUUAGCUCAACAACAGCAGUUAAGUUCCUCAAGACUUUUCUAAGAAUGUUCUGCUCCUCAUCUGCACAGAGCGGAUGGUACAUUUUUAAUGACUUUAUGUUUGGUUUUCUAUUUCAUGUUUAGUGCAUGACACCAUGCCUUAUUUCCGAGCUCAAGUAACAGCAAGACAGUACUGUUCAGAGCCUCACGGGCUUUCUGUACUUCUCAUUAACAGGUCAUCCAAAAACCAACAUAAGUAUUCCUGCAGUCAAAUCACAUGUUGUGAGAAUAGGGAGAGAUGAAAUAUAAUCAGAUUAAAAAAAAAAGUUCUUCCAGUUUUGGGGUAUCCAAACUGGCCAGAAAUCUUGUUUCUCAGAGACAUAUACGUUAUACUUGUAAAGCCCCAAUCUCAUUAAUACCUAUUGCAGCUGGGAAUACUCAAUGCCUGCAAAAAGCAACCCUUUUUCAAAAAUACAAAAGUAGGUAGCUUUCUUCAGGUAGCUGAAGAAACUGAAUCCAUCAGGAUACCAUUCAGGUGCAUGGGACCACCCUGCCUUGCCCUGAAGCCCCAGAUUCACCUCCCAACACAAACAAGUAUUUGGUCAUUACUUGAUUUGUACUUGACUUUCUAGCUCAGGCUGGAUGGGGCUCUGAGCACCUGAUGGAGCUGUAGGUGUCACUGCUCAUUGCAGGGCAGUUGGACUAGAUGAGCUUUAAGUGUCCCUUCUAACUCAAGCAUUUCUAUGAUUCCAUCACUAAGGAUCAUCUCACUGGGCAGUAUACAGUUCCCUAGACCAGAAAUGUUCUUGCACACUUGUUAUCACCCCCUCUAUCCACAUAGUGUGUGUGUGUGUAGACAUCUGACACGUCUGCUGGCAGACACAGGCAAUCUCUGGGAAGGUUAGAGCUGAACCAGGAGUGCUGAGCUCCAUACAGGCUCUGGAGAAAACAACAACCUGGUAGACAGCAGCUCAGUUCAUUAAACUUCUCAAUGGGAAUCUAUCCCAAAUACCUCAACUCAAACCUUACCCAACCAUGACUUCUCCACCCUAAUUCCAUCCCUACCUCAUAUUCAUUGACACCCAAGCGGACCUCCAUCCAUCUUUCCCACUUCCUUCCCUCUUUCAGGUUCCUUAUCAGCCUCACUAGCAGCGCAUUAGCUUCCAGCACCACCUCUGAGCCCUAUGCCAACUCUGAGCCCAUUUUGUAUGGUCCCAUCCACUCCUCAUUCUCCCUCUGCCUUGCUCACACAUCUCCAUUGAGGGCAGCCUGAUAGCAGCCUGCCCCAUCUAAAGCAUCAUCCCACCUGGAGGGGGAACACCUUGAUUUGGAGGGAAGACUCCUGGCAAUGGCUGUAGGGCCAAAACCUUCCCCGAGGUUGGAAAAGGUCAGAGCAGGGAACAGAGCUCGGGCAAGGCCAGCAGCAGAAUGGUGUUUGCCCCCCAUCACUGCUCUGGGUCUCUCAGUGCCUCAGUGGGAGCAGCACAGGAAAGGCAAAACCGGGUACAGUAGAAAUUGAUGACAGCACACAGAGCUUCUCACCCUGCAGCCUGCGACAUCCUGCCCUGUGUGCGGACUUUCACAGCUGCGUGCAAGUUAUUCACUAUCCCGUGCCAAAAAUAAACGGUCGAUGUCUUCUGUCUGCCGCCCUUCAAAAUGAAGCGAAGAGCAGCGCUGCCACCAGCCCUGGCUGGGAAGGACCUGGUGGGCUGGGAGGACUGGGGCUCGGGCAGGGCCCUGAGCUGCUUGUCCCAAAGGACCGCGGGUAUUUCUGGCACGGUGGGGCCAGCAGCACUCGAACACGGAGCGAUUUUACUAAAAAAGGAACUUGUAGAGCACUGUGGGCCGGCGCUGUGGGCAUCUCCGCUGCCACUGGGAGGAGGGACAUGGAGGCAGCUGCCUGGCUGUGUCCCCCGCACUGCCCACAGCCUGGCACUCAGCAGCAAACUUCUGCAUGGAAAAUAUUAGCGAAUAAUAACAUACCCCUUUAUAGCUGUACGUUUCCACGUUGCUGCUGUCCUUUUUUUUGUUGUUGUUGUUCUCUUUAUUUUUUUUCCUUA